CCUACGGGUGGCAGCAGUAAGGAAUUUUCGUCAAUGGGGGAAACCCUGAACGAGCAACGCCGCGUGGAGGAUGACGGUCUUCGGAUUGUAAACUCCUUUUAUGAGGGACGAUAAUGACGGUACCUCAGGAAUAAGCCCCGGCUAACUCUGUGCCAGCAGCCGCGGUAAUACAGAGGGGGCAAGCGUUGUCCGGAAUUACUGGGCGUAAAGAGCACGUAGGCGGUCGCGCAAGUGGUGUGUGAAACCACCCAGCUUAACUGGGUGACGCCAUGCCAAACUGCGCGACUCGAGUCAUGGAGAGGUUAUUCGAAUUGCUGGUGUAGUGGUGAAAUGCGUAGAGAUCAGCAGGAAGACCAAGGGCGAAAGCAGAUAACUGGCCAUGCACUGACGCUCAGGUGCGAAAGCGUGGGGAGCAAACUGGAUUAGAUACCCUAGUAGUC
rnacentral:rRNA from 1 species